CUCCACAUAUCAUUUCCAGGGUGCUAGUCAACUGUCCCUGUAUGUAAUUUUAAAUGAAACAUGAGUGGAUUUGCUGCACCUUGCUGUGUUUCCGGAAGAAAGAGCACAGAGGCCAGUCUUGACUCACCUUCCUCUAGACUUGCUCAGAGGGCUCAGUCAACUGGAGGUCAGCUCCUUCACGGGCAUGCCACCACACCUGUCUUUCAGGAGGACCAUACCCCUUAGCUCUCUCUUCCUGGCCUGUUGAGUCAGCACCGGGUCUCAGGCAGGGCUGAGUGCCAACUCCCCAUUUGGACAGCACUACUACUGUCAUGGCUUUCUUUGGAGCGUAGCAGCAUUUGGGAGAGCAGACACCCGAGUGACGAUCCUCAGUGAAGACCAUUUCCAAGGAGGGCUGCUUUCCCUCAGGUGUCCUUGCAGAGGCUUCUGCAUCCAGCAGUCAGAACACAGGCAGCACACACAUGCCAGUGCUGGAAGAGGGGUCUUUGCCUGCACACGAUGCACAGGACAGGGACAGCGUGGGACCUGUGUAGAAGCAGCUACUCUGCUCUGCUGAGUCCACUCUCCCAGCUGUCCUCUGCUGGGUCCAGUUUGCCUCCAAGCUCCCACCCACCGUGACUUCUAACCUGCCCUGACAUUUAUUUGUCACAAGCUGGACUGUGGUGGGCAAAACAUUGGAACAAAUUUGUGCUCCUUGUCCUUAUCCGAGACCAGCAAAGGGGCGAUACUACUUAUGAGAGAGAGAGAAGCAGCAGCCUGUGCCACGCCCUACAGAACCUGCUGUUCCUUUCCUGGUCCCACUGUCUAAGCCAGGAAGAUGUGUGAUGAUGUCAACUGGGAUGUACCAUCAGCUGGCAUUGCUGAAGCCUAGGGCCAUGGCAAGGAUGGGGACUCCUGGUAAUGAUGUCCAGUGAGAGGGAUGCUCCAGAGAACAGAGACACAGCUGGGGCUUCAUUCUGCAUAACUUUAGAGAAGCAACUGAGAUUAUGAGGCACCUCCAUCCCCAGUGACUCAACCCAGAAAGAUCAAGUCCGGGAAAGAACCUGUUCCAGUCCUCUUCAGAAACAGUAUGUCAAACCAUGUUUACACACCUGUACAUCCCCCACCCUCCUCUCUCUUGUCAUUUAUCAUUUCCAAAUAACCCACCCACAUCUCUUGUAGAUUGAGACCAUAGGCAAGAAUGACAAAAAUUCACAACUAUCCUUACAGAGUUCCAAGUCCAGGCAAGGAGGUAAGUAUGGACUCUGACAACCAUUCAGGUGACCAGGUGAUGAUGGUGACAGGCUUAGCCUUCCCACUUGGAGUGAGAUCAGCUUUGGAAUGCUCCUUUAUCUAUCUAUCUAUCUAUCUAUCUAUCUAUCUAUCUAUCUAUCUAUCUAUCUAUCUAUCUCCAUAAUAGCCUAGAAGAGAAUACCAGAGACAGAUUUUGAGAUCAGCUUUGGAAUGCUCCUUUAUCUAUCUAUCUAUCUAUCUAUCUAUCUAUCUAUCUAUCUAUCUAUCUAUCAAAUAAUAUAUCUAUCAUCUGCUUUUUCAUCUAUGUAUCAUCUAUAUACCUACCUAACUAUAUAUUAUCUGUCUGUCUGUCUUUGCCUAUCAUCUACUAGAAAGUUCUACACUUUGACCUGCAUGCUCUGCUAACUUGGCAUCUCCAUGGUAACUACUUGACUUCCGCUUGCCUUCACUGGGCUGAACUUGAGUGUGAGCUGCAGAUGGUGAAGAGUGCCCAGCCUGAGCACACCUGGCUCAAAUGUUGGUUUGCUGCUAACCUCGUGCAUCUGCGGCUUGGCCUUCCCUUGUAUCUCUUCAGAUUUCCAUCCCCUCAUCCAUCAGACAGCAGCUCUCUCCCGCAGUUCCUUUUAAAUAAUGCCCAGAACUUUUAUGGUCCGUUUGACUCACAGAAGCUCAGUCAGAAGGUAAAGACAUCAAUAUUGGAGCCGCUUUCCUGUGGUACCGGCACGUCACCACCACAGCAGCACCUGCAAGGUGAAGAAAGGACUGAACUCAGCGUCUCGUCCAUGACAGGCAAGUGUUCUCCCAUCAAGCCAUCACUCCCCAGGAUCUUUACCUAUCUCUGCAUAUGUGUGGAUGGAUCUCCUGACUCAGCUAUCUAGGUGUGCCCCUCACUAGGUUACUCAGGACCUACAGCCCACUCUGGAGCUCCAGCACAUGAACUUACCAUCAUCCUGUAUAAGCCUCCUGAAUAGCUAGAAUGAAUGUCACCAGGCUUAUAUCUUACUUUGCUGCAUUCUUGCCUUGUUGUUGUUAUUUUUUUUAACAUCCCUACUGUCGGGUGAUGUCCUAGGGUUUGUGUCACUCUUGGCAGCCCCAGGGGAUCACAGUGCAUGUAGGUUGUGGGUCUGUUGGUGCAAAAAGGAAGCCGCACUUGUAUCUCUGUCCUCAAGUCAGCCUGGCUCCUCUACAGAUGACUCCCUUGAGUUUGCCUGUCCUUGAUGACCUAGGUGGGCGUAGGACUCUGCCUCCUCGCUGCUCCUUGCCAUCCACAGGUCCUUCUGCCUUGAGAAUCUGCAUCUUCACGCUGGUGUGCCCUGGCUGAGUUCUCCUAACCUGGACCUACAACCGUGUGCCACUAGGCACAAUUUGCCACACAUGGGACACAUGGACAGGGCAUUUCGACGUUAUAGGAAGAAUGAGAUUUGUCCUCCCCUGGAAUGACAGAGUGAGAGGCAAGUCAUCUUUCCUCCCACCGCCGAUGCAGUGACCAUUGGGACAGGUUACACCCACGCUGUCUCUGGCCUCCUUGAAUGAGCUUCCGGCUCCACUGACCCGACACCUGGAAGGAAGGCUUCCAUAGGAGACCAGGCCCUGUGGAGGGAGUCUGACUCAUGCAGAAAGAAGAGCCCCGUUCUUCAGUUUCCCUCAGAGUUGAUGGAGCUGAAAAGCCCACCUUGUUCCUGUUUAUGGGCCUUGUGCAAAUGAGACGUAAGGCUGCGGGACACAGGAAAACUUCCAUCUACACUUCGGUUGUGGCAGAAAAAAAAGGACUCAGGGGGUCCCAGAAGACAACUUCUUCUCUGGAGUCUACAGUUUCUUAGAACUAUAGGAUGGUCUGCAAUGCUCCUGCAGGUGUGCCCUUGCCUUGCAGGUGAAGGGGCACACUUCUGGGCUUGUGAAGGAGUCUAAGUGAGUACCAUCGAGGACCAAGCCCUUGACUCCUGGCCACCACUGCCAAUGGCAGCGUGGGUGUGCUGUCAUAACCGGAGCUGGGCAGCAACAGAGCACAUGUGUACAUCUCUCAGAGUGAUUCCAUGUCGUCCCCAGAACGGUGCAAACUGGGGGCUAUUUAGCAUGAACGUGCCGAGAAAGUAUCUUUUUAUGCUUCUUAUCCCCCAACACAGUUGAAGACGGCUUUGGUGUGUGCCCUGCAGGAAGGAAGUCCGUUCCACUGGUGGGCUCCGGGCAUCUAUUUUGUUGCGUUAAGUAACUGAAAAUCAGAACCAAACAGGGCUUUCUUUCAAAGUCUGAGGAAACUGUCUCACAGAAGCCUGUAAACUCCCGAGUGAAGACUGUGGGGCCUUUCUAGAAGAUUCCACCACACCACCGCACUUUUGGCUUUUCACUCAUCUAGAAUUUUUAACUCUUGUUUCUCAUCCCUACGGACUGCAUUUCCCUAUCAGAUCCCAUUGCAGGGUCUCUUGCCCUGAUAAGUGGCGUUAUCUUAGCCCCAGGGGUUGUUAGAGUGGCCUGGUGUGGGGGGGGCUUUGUCUCUGUCUCAGGCCUCUCCCCUCUCCCCUCACUUGAGGAAGCUCAUCUGCUUCCAGGCCUGAUUUCAGCCCCUUUGAAACUUCCUGCUUUUCCCCUGGAGGUGACUCACCAGCCUCUGAACUCCCCCAAGAUCUUGUCUCUUCUUUUUAUGGCCCCUUCUCUGUUUGUGCGCCCCACCCCUCCCCCAGCACUUUUCAGGAAAUCGACAACUCAGGGCAGAAAAAAAAAGAAAGAAAAGAAAAGAUCCCUGUCAUAUCCUCAAGGCAUGGGACGCUUAGUCCUGAUGUAUAUAAUGCUCAUUAAAAUUUGUUAA